UGCGUGUGUGUGUGUGCGUGUGUGUGUGCGUGUGUGUAGCACCUGCUGUCAUUGCCAUCUUUGCUACAUUUUGGACGCUUAAAUACCCAAGAGACUUAAGAAGCGGCGAGCAUCCGCCUCAGCCAUUACUCCCACCACCACUCAUCGGUCCACCCACACACACACGCACACACACACACACA
rnacentral:miRNA from 1 species